GGAUCCGUAGCUCAGUGGUAGAGCGUUCCGUUCACAUCGGAAAGGCCGCAGGUUCGAUCCCUGCCGGGUCCA
rnacentral:tRNA from 1 species